GAUGAAGAACGUAGCGAAAUGCGAUACUUGGUGUGAAUUGCAGAAUCCCGUGAACCAUCGAGUCUUUGAACGCAAGUUGCGCCUCAAGCCAUUAGGUUGAGGGCACGUCUGCCUGGGCGUCACAUAUCGUUGCCUGAUGCCAGUUUCCUCGUGAUGGGUGACUGUGCAGGGCGAAUGAUGGCUUCCCGUGAGCAUUGUUGCCUCAUGGUUGGUUGAAAAUUGAGUCCUUGGUAGGGAGCGCCGUGAUAGAUGGUGGUUGAGUGACGAACGAGACCCAAUCAUGUGAGACCCCUACCGAAUUUGGCCUUCAUUACCCACAUGCGUCUUUGGAACGCUCAUGACGAGACCUCAGGUCAGGCGGGGCUACCCGCUGAGUUUAAGCAUAUCAAUAAGCGGAGGA
rnacentral:misc_RNA from 1 species